CAUAAUCAUUAGUCUUUUAAUUUGAGACUGGAAUGAAAGAGUAAACCGGGAGAAUUUUUUUUUAUCCAAGAAAAUGAAUUUUACCUUUUAGUAAGAAGGCUAAAAUCUUUCUUUUAGACAAGAAGACCCUAUAAAACUUUAUAUUUUUUCCUAUUUAUANNNAAAGGGAGGAGUAUUUUACUGGGGCGGUAGGAAAAAGNANNUCUUUUCUUAAAAGAUAAAACAAACUAGUUUAAAUAUCUAGAAAUUUUAAAAGAGAAAUAAGUUACUUUAGGGAUAACAGCUUAAUUUACUUAGAAAGAUCUAAUUGACAAGUGAGUUUAUGACCUCGAUGUUGAAUUAAAAUUCCUUU
rnacentral:rRNA from 1 species